AUGGGGACUAAGGUGUUCGUGCUUUCUGUAGUGAGGAACGCUGCUGGGCUCCGAGAAAGCAGAAUUAGUAGUUGUGAAUGGCUUUGUUUGUCCUUUGGCAGAAAUGCCUUAUGGGCUGCUUUGGAGCUGAACUGAGGAUUUGUUGAUUACCUCCCAUUUACCAGGAUUACAGCAAAUUAGAUUUAACUGUGACUGGCAUGGGAACUAUCUGAUGUCAGACAUGGAUGAGGACUAUUGCUAUAUAAACCACACCCUAUGAAUACAACCAUGGCCUAAAAUUCUAAGAUUGUUUAAAAAAGUGGAC